rnacentral:sRNA from 2 species
UAAGCACCUCGUUAGGUGAGGCGGCUACACGAACAUAGGCCACUGACCCCGAACGUCGAGAGACGCCCCGGGUCAGGACAGCUCUUCCCGGCUUAAGGGUUGAGCCCAGGUGGCUUCCGGCUUACCGGACAGGUCGUGUGGUGCGAAAGCCUGACAGAAGGGGUCGGUU